GACCUGGUUGAUCCUGCCAGAGGCUACCGCUAUUGGAGUUCGAUUAAGCCAUGCGAGUCGAGAGUCUUAGGGACUCGGCGUACCGCUCAGUAACACGUGGGUAACCUGCCCUAUGCUGGGGAAUAACCUCGGGAAACUGAGAAUAAUACCUCAUCGUCCACAAUGCCUGGAACGGUUUGUGGAUUAAAGCCCCGGCGGCAUAGGAUGGGCCUGCGGCGUAUCAGGUUGUAGGGGGUGUAACGUACCCUCUAGCCAUCAACGCGUACGGGUGUUGGGAGACAUAGCCCGGAGAUGAAUUCUGAGACACGAAUCCAGACCCUACGGGGUGCAGCAGGCGCGAAAACUUGGCAAUGCGAGAAAUCGUGACCAGGGAACUCCAAGUGGCUGGGGUAAGACCCAGUCUUUUCUUGACUCUUCAAAGGUCUUGGAAUAAGAGGUGGGUAAGGACGGUGCCAGCCGCCGCGGUAAUACCGGCGCCUCAAGUGGUAGUCGAUUUUAUUGGGCCUAAAACGUCCGUAGCCUGUUUGGUACAUUCGUGGGUAAAUCAACCAGCUUAACUGGUUGAAUUCUGCGAGCACGGCCAGACUUGGGACCGGGAGAGGUGU
rnacentral:rRNA from 1 species